rnacentral:rRNA from 1 species
UAGGGAAUAUUGGACAAUGGGCGCAAGCCUGAUCCAGCCAUGCCGCGUGAGUGAAGAAGGCCCUCGGGUUGUCAAGCUCUUUUGUCCGGAAAGAAAAGCAUCGGGUUAAUACCCCGGUGUUCUGACGGUACCGGAAGAAUAAGCACCGGCUAACUUCGUGCCAGCAGCCGCGGUAAUACGAAGGGUGCAAGCGUUACUCGGAAUUACUGGGCGUAAAGCGUGCGUAGGUGGUUCGUUAAGUCUGAUGUGAAAGCCCUGGGCUCAACCUGGGAAUGGCAUUGGAAACUGGCGGACUGGAGUGCGGGAGAGGGUAGCGGAAUUCCCGGUGUAGCAGUGAAAUGCGUAGAGAUCGGGAGGAACAUCCGUGACGAAGGCGGCUACCUGGACCAGCACUGACACUGAGGCACGAAAGCGUGGGGAGCAAACA